rnacentral:rRNA from 1 species
UACGGAGGGGGGCUAGCGUUGUUCGGAAUUACUGGGCGUAAAAGCGCACGUAGGCGGCUUUUGUAAGUUAGAGGUGAAAAGCCCCAGGGCUUAACCCUGGAAUUGCCUUUAAGACUGCAUCGCUAGAAUCGUGGAGAGGUAAGUGGAAUUCCGAGUGUAGAGGUGAAAAUUCGUAGAUAUUCGGAAGAACACCAGUGGCGAAGGCGACUUACUGGACACGUAUUGACGCUGAGGUGCGAAAAGCGUGGGGAGCAAACAGG